GAUUAACGCUAGCGGCAGGCAUAAUACAUGCAAGUUGAACGGGAUAAGUUGUAGCAAUACGACUUUGAGAGUAGCGCACGGGUGCGUAACGCGUAUGCAAUCUGCCUUGUACUGAGGGAUAGCCCAGAGAAAUUUGGAUUAAUACCUCAUAGCAUUAUGAAAUCGCAUGGUUUUAUAAUUAAAGUUCCAACGGUACAAGAUGAGCAUGCGUCCCAUUAGUUAGUUGGUAAGGUAACGGCUUACCAAGACGAUGAUGGGUAGGGGUCCUGAGAGGGAGAUCCCCCACACUGGUACUGAGACACGGACCAGACUCCUACGGGAGGCAGCAGUGAGGAAUAUUGGUCAAUGGACGCAAGUCUGAACCAGCCAUGCCGCGUGCAGGAUGAAGCAUCUAUGGUGUGUAAACUGCUUUUGUACGGGAAGAAACACUCCUACGUGUAGGAGCUUGACGGUACCGUAAGAAUAAGGAUCGGCUAACUCCGUGCCAGCCGCCGCGGUAAGAC
rnacentral:rRNA from 1 species